rnacentral:rRNA from 1 species
CUCCGGUUGAUCCCGCCGGACCCGACUGCUAUCAGAGUGGGACUAAGCCAUGCGAGUCGACGUAGCAAUGCGUGGCGAACGGCUCAGUAACACGUAGUCAACAUGCCCAGGGGACGUGGAUAACCUCGGGAAACUGAGGAUAAACCACGAUAGGUCACGAUUUCUGGAAUGGAUCAUGGCCUAAAUCUACAUGGCCCCUGGAUUGGACUGCGGCCGAUCAGGCUGUUGGUGAGGUAAUGGCCCACCAAACCUAUAACCGGUACGGGCUCUGAGAGGAGAAGCCCGGAGAUGGGCACUGAGACAAGGGCCCAGGCCCUAUGGGGCGCAGCAGGCGCGAAACCUCUGCAAUAGGCGAAAGCCUGACAGGGUUACUCUGAGUGAUUUCCGCUAAGGGGAUCUUUUGGCACCUCUAAAAAUGGUGCAGAAUAAGGGGUGGGCAAGUCUGGUGUCAGCCGCCGCGGUAAUACCAGCACCCCGAGUGGUCGGGACGAUUAUUGGGCCUAAAGCAUCCGUAGCCGGUUCUGCAAGUCUUCCGUUAAAUCCAGCCGCUCAACGGAUGGGCCGCGGAGGAUACUACAGGACUGGGAGGCGGGAGAGGCAAGCGGUACUCAGUGGGUAGGGGUAAAAUCCUUUGAUCCAUUGAAGACCACCAGUGGCGAAGGCGGCUUGCCAGAACGCGCUCGACGGUGAGGGAUGAAAGCUGGGGGAGCAAACCGGAUUAGAUACCCGGGUAGUCCCAGCUGUAAACGAUGCAGACUCGGUGAUGGGCUAGCCUUGUGCCAGCCCAGUGCCGCAGGGAAGCCGUUAAGUCUGCCGCCUGGGGAGUACGGUCGCAAGACUGAAACUUAAAGGAAUUGGCGGGGGGAGCA